CAGUCGCCGCGGUAAUACGGAGGAUCCAAGCGUUAUCCGGAAUCAUCGGGUUUAAAGGGUCCGUAGGCGGUCUUGUAAGUCAGUGGUGAAAGCCCAUCGCUCAACGGUGGAACGGCCAUUGAUACUGCAGGACUUGAAUUAUUGGGAAGUAACUAGAAUAUGUAGUGUAGCGGUGAAAUGCUUAGAGAUUACAUGGAAUACCAAUUGCGAAGGCAGGUUACUACCAAUUGAUUGACGCUGAUGGACGAAAGCGUGGGUAGCGAACAGGAUUAGAUACCCCAGUAGUCCCUGUCUCUUAUAC
rnacentral:rRNA from 1 species